UUUUAAUACAGUAUAAUAGGUGAUGCUGGUUUUUGUACCAGUAAGUCAUUACAGCUGCUAGGAUGGAAUGGGUGUGGUCUAUCUUUUAUCAUGUGACAGUAAACAAAAAUCAAUUUCCUUGGUCCAUUAUGCCAGCUAGUCAACUUCAAAGCACAAGCUAAUAGUAGAUGAUUCUAUAUGAUAGCUUACAAUUAUACUGACUAUGUUUUUUGGUA